rnacentral:rRNA from 1 species
UACGGAGGGGGCUAGCGUUGUUCGGAAUUACUGGGCGUAAAGCGCGCGUAGGCGGUUUGCCAAGUUAGGCGUGAAAUCCCGGGGCUCAACCCCGGAACUGCGUCUAAAACUGGUAAGCUAGAGACCGGAAGAGGUGAGUGGAAUUCCCAGUGUAGAGGUGAAAUUCGUAGAUAUUGGGAAGAACACCAGUGGCGAAGGCGACUCACUGGUCCGGUUCUGACGCUGAGGUGCGAAAGCGUGGGGAGCGAAC